rfam:Opitutaceae bacterium TSB47 genomic scaffold Scaffold1, whole genome shotgun sequence.
GAAAGAGUAAUCUUUCGGGGGGAGGAAGGCUGGGGGAAACCUGCGAGACGAUGAACAAGAAGCGGAUAAAAGGCCGGCAGGGAGACGACGAGCUGGCACCACACAGCGAAGUCGCAGGGUCAUGCCCUGACGGUAAAUCCGACGUUUGCGCAGGGAAGCAACGCGUU